rnacentral:rRNA from 1 species
GGCUCAGAACGAACGCUUGGCGGCAGGCCUAACACAUGCAAGUCGAGCGAGACCUUCGGGUCUAGCGGCGGACGGGUUAGUAACGCGUGGGAAUAUACCCUUCACUACGGAAUAGCCUCGGGAAACUGGGAGUAAUACCGUAUACGCCCUUCGGGGGAAAGAUUUAUCGGUGAAGGAUUAGCCCGCGUCUGAUUAGAUAGUUGGUGGGGUAACGGCCUACCAAGUCGACGAUCAGUAGCUGGUUUGAGAGGAUGAUCAGCAACACUGGGACUGAGACACGGCCCAGACUCCUACGGGAGGCAGCAGUGGGGAAUCUUAGACAAUGGGCGCAAGCCUGAUCUAGCCAUGCCGCGUGAGUGACGAAGGCCUUAGGGUCGUAAAGCUCUUUCGCCAGAGAUGAUAAUGACAGUAUCUGGUAAAGAAACCCCGGCUAACUCCGUGCCAGCANCCGCGGUAAUACGGAGGGGGUUAGCGUUGUUCGGAAUUACUGGGCGUAAAGCGCGCGUAGGCGGACUAUUAAGUCAGGGGUGAAAUCCCGGGGCUCAACCCCGGAACUGCCUUUGAUACUGGUAGUCUAGAGUUCGAGAGAGGUGAGUGGAAUUCCGAGUGUAG